CACCCUGUUCGUCCCUAACCGGAGCCGGACACCGCCGCAGGCAUGCACGCAUGCCGAGGCCGAGCCCGACUCGAGCUCGCGCUCCUGGUCCACCUCGUGCGCGUCCGACCCGCCGUACGCGGGCCAAACUGCACGAGGAACCCCACACCCCUGAUCUCGAUUCCUUCCGUAGCCGCACGCUCUGGAUAGGGCGAAACGGAUCUCGCCUAGAGCUCCGCCGUUCGCCGGAGAUUUUCGCCACCAAACCGAGCAGGGAGAGAGGAACGAGCUCGACCACCGUUUGCCGGAGCACUCCGGAGUUCGCGACGCCGCCGUCAGUAGAGGAUGCCCCCGUCGCCGUACUCACGACCACCGCCUCCGCCGCUCAACGCCGCACCCACCCAUCACUUCACCCUCGCCGGAGAGUCGCCGGAGCAGCGCCACCGCAGCCGCCGACUGCCGCCGCCGUUUUCCUCCGUACACGAUUGUCUGGAGUGCGACGUAAACCUUUGUCAGGAGUGUGACUUUCUGAACCAGAACCAAGGCAAG